UGCAAGUCGACGAUGAUGCCCAGCUUGCUGGGUUGAUUAGUGGCGAACGGGUGAGUAACACGUGAGUAACCUGCCCCUGACUCUGGGAUAAGCGUUGGAAACGACGUCUAAUACUGGAUAUGAUCACUGGCCGCAUGGUCUGGUGGUGGAAAGAUUUUUUGGUUGGGGAUGGACUCGCGGCCUAUCAGCUUGUUGGUGAGGUAAUGGCUCACCAAGGCGACGACGGGUAGCCGGCCUGAGAGGGUGACCGGCCACACUGGGACUGAGACACGGCCCAGACUCCUACGGGAGGCAGCAGUGGGGAAUAUUGCACAAUGGGCGAAAGCCUGAUGCAGCAACGCCGCGUGAGGGAUGACGGCCUUCGGGUUGUAAACCUCUUUUAGUAGGGAAGAAGCGAAAGUGACGGUACCUGCAGAAAAAGCACCGGCUAACUACGUGCCAGCAGCCGCGGUAAUACGUAGGGUGCAAGCGUUGUCCGGAAUUAUUGGGCGUAAAGAGCUCGUAGGCGGUUUGUCGCGUCUGCUGUGAAAUCCCGAGGCUCAACCUCGGGCUUGCAGUGGGUACGGGCAGACUAGAGUGCGGUAGGGGAGAUUGGAAUUCCUGGUGUAGCGGUGGAAUGCGCAGAUAU
rnacentral:rRNA from 1 species